AAGCAGCGGAGCGUGUGGUUAAUUCGAUGCUACACGAAGAACCUUACCUGGGUUUGACAUAGAGGUAGUAGGGAAGCGAAAGCGGACCGACCCUUCGGGAGCCUCUACAGGUGUUGGCAUGGCUGUCGUCAGCUCGUGUCGUGAGAUGUUCGGUUAAGUCCGCUAACGAGCGCAACCCUCGCUGUGUGUUACAAGUGUCACACGGUACUGCCGAUAUUAAGUCGGAGGAAGGUGGGGAUGACGUCAAGUCAGCAUGACCUUUAUAUCCAGGGCUACACACACGCUACAAUGGCCAGUACAAUGGGUUGCCAAGCCGCGAGGCGGAGCCAAUCCUAAAAAGCUGGCCUCAGUUCAGAUUGCAGUCUGCAACUCGACUGCAUGAAGUUGGAGUUGCUAGUAACCGCAGGUCAGCAAUACUGCGGUGAAUACGUUCCCGGGGAUU
rnacentral:rRNA from 1 species